GACGAACGCUGGCGGCGUGCUUAACACAUGCAAGUCGAACGGAAAGGCCCUGCUUUUGUGGGGUGCUCGAGUGGCGAACGGGUGAGUAACACGUGAGUAACCUGCCCUUGACUUUGGGAUAACUUCAGGAAACUGGGGCUAAUACCGGAUAGGAGCUCCUGCUGCAUGGUGGGGGUUGGAAAGUUUCGGCGGUUGGGGCUGGACUCGCGGCUUAUCAGCUUGUUGGUGGGGUAGUGGCUUACCAAGGCUUUGACGGGUAGCCGGCCUGAGAGGGUGACCGGCCACAUGGGGACUGAGAUACGGCCCAGACGCCUACGGGAGGCAGCAGUGGGGAAUAGUGCACAAUGGGCGGAAGCCGGAUGCAGCAACGCCGCGUGCGGGAUGACGGCCUUCGGGGUGUAAACCGCUUUCGCCUGUGACGAAGCGUGAGUGACGGUAAUGGGUAAAGAAGCACCGGCUAACUACGU
rnacentral:rRNA from 1 species